rnacentral:rRNA from 1 species
GACGAACGCUGGCGGCGUGCUUAACACAUGCAAGUCGAACGGAGAAUUUUACUUCGGUGAAAUUCUUAGUGGCGAACGGGUGAGUAACGCGUAGACAACCUGCCUCUUAGAUGGGGACAACAUCGCGAAAGCGGUGCUAAUACCGAAUGAAGUGGAGCUUCCGCAUGGAAGCAUCACCAAAGGUGGCCUCUAUUUAUAAGCUACCACUGAGAGAGGGGUCUGCGUCUGAUUAGCUAGUUGGCGGGGUAAUGGCCCACCAAGGCGACGAUCAGUAGCCGGUCUGAGAGGAUGAACGGCCACAUUGGGACUGAGACACGGCCCAAACUCCUACGGGAGGCAGUAGUGGGGAAUCUUCCGCAAUGGACGAAAGUCUGACGGAGCAACGCCGCGUGAGUGAAGAAGGUUUUCGGAUCGUAAAGCUCUGUUGUUUGAGACGAAUGUGCAGACUUUGAAUAAGGGUUUGUAAUGACGGUAUUAAACGAGAAAGCCACGGCUAACUACGUGCCAGCAGCCGCGGUAA